ACGUAGGUACCGAGCGUUAUCCGGAUUUACUGGGCGUAAAGCGCGUUCAGGCGGUUUGGCAAGUCGGGCAUGAAAUCUCUCGGCUCAACCGGGAGAGGUUGUCCGAUACUUCCAGACUUGAGGGCAGUAGAGGGUGGUGGAAUUCCGGGUGUAGUGGUGAAAUGCGUAGAUAUCCGGAGGACACCAGUGGCGAAAGCGGCCACCUGGACUGCACCUGACGCUGACACGCGAAAGCUAGGGGAGCGAACGGG
rnacentral:rRNA from 1 species